rnacentral:rRNA from 1 species
UACAGAGGGGGCAAGCGUUGUUCGGAAUUACUGGGCGUAAAGGGCGCGUAGGCGGCCGCCUAAGUCAGACGUGAAAUCCCUCUGCUCAACCGGGGAACUGCGUCUGAUACUGGGUGGCUUGAAUUCGGGAGAGGGAUGCGGAAUUCCAGGUGUAGCGGUGAAAUGCGUAGAUAUCUGGAGGAACACCGGUGGCGAAGGCGGCAUCCUGGACCGAGAUUGACGCUGAGGCGCGAAAGCCAGGGGAGCAAACGGG